AGGAGUAUAGUUAAUUAUAACAUUUAAGUUGCAUUUAAAAAGUAUUGAAAUCAAUUACUCUUAUUUAAUUUU
rnacentral:tRNA from 1 species